CCAGACGGUCGGACGGCCGCCGGUAUCGCCUCCGGGCGACGCGGGAGGAAAGUCCGGGCUCCAUGGAGACAAGGCGCCGGGUAACGCCCGGCCGGGGUAACCCGAGGGAAAGCGCCACAGAGAAUAUACCGCCCCGUUUCGGGGUAAGGGUGAAAAGGUGCGGUAAGAGCGCACCGCCGGACCAGCAAUGGGACGGGCAUGGCAAGCCCCGCCUGGAGCAAGACCGAAUAGGGAUAACGCGCUGAAAAGCAGGCGUGUCUUCGCGCUGAGUUAUCCGGGUUGGUUGCUUGAGCACGCCAGUAAUGGCGCGCCUAGAGGAAUGGUCGUCGCGCCGCAAGGCGUACAGAACCCGGCUUACAGACCGUCUGGCGUU
rnacentral:RNase_P_RNA from 1 species